UAUAAUUGUAUUCCGGUAUGAACCGGUGUUACCCCAAAACAUUCCCUGCUUCAGUCACACCAGAAUCUGUCCAUUUACCAACAAUUUUUCUUCUUUGGAACAUCAACAUUUACAAUAUGCAUGAUUGUUAAGUGAAAGAAUUUACCAAGUUUUGUUGGUACAAUGUCAGACGCUAUGACAAAUUUCCAAACUCAGUCAAGCAGUGAUAGGAACUGUUGUUCAAACACACACAAUAUAAGCAACGGAACAGAUGAAGAGACGUGCCAAGAGGAGUCUUGUGACAGCAGCGCCACAGAAAACAUAGCCACCAAAGAGGAUGGCAAAAACACAGAUGAAAAGCAUUCCAAAUUUACUGGCUUUGGUAUUCCAUUGAACGUACAGAGAUAUGAGGCUGUGAGGAAGGAAUUAGGAAAAGAAAACGUAGAAUCGUGUAUUGACUUUGGUUCGUCCGAAUGUCGUGUCAUCGAUCAGUUCAGCCAAAUUGCCAGUUUGAAGCAGUUGGCUCUUGUGGAUUUGGACCGAAAUACACUUGUAGCCAAUCUUCACCGCCUCACUCCGCGCCUCAUGCACUACUCCCGCUCCGUCCAGCUGACCGUAAAUGUCUACGAAGGAGAUGUUACCAAAUACGAUAGCCGCAUGAAGAAUUACGAUGCAAUUACCAUGAUUGAACUCAUUGAACAUCUAAUUCCUGAAGAUCUGAAGAAAUGUUGCAACACGGUAUUCAACCAAUUGAGGCCAAAGCUUGUUGUCGUAACCACUCCUAACUGUCAGUUCAAUGUUGUGUUUGGAAUGACUGCUGGUGAGAUGAGGCACUGGGACCAUAAAUAUGAGUGGACGAUGGCGGAAUUCCAAAGUUGGGGAGAUGAAAUGUGUACGUCUUUUGGCUACAAAGUGGAAUACUCGGGUGUUGGAGUGACUGACCUUGUUCCAGACGUGGGCUUCUGUAGUCAGAUUGCUGUUUUCAAACGAGAAGAAGGUUUCUUGAGCAAACCAAGCGUAGAUCUUCAUCAAGAGGUUUAUAAAUAUAUCACCAAAAUAGAUUUUCCCUUUACAACAGAAGAAAGCAAACAGAAUAUUCUUUCGGAAUCGGUUAAAUAUUAUCUUCGGAAGUAUGCCUGCGACUGGAACAUUCUGGGUGAUCAUCCUGAAGAACUGGAUGGACGAGGACUGGAAGAAACCAAUGACAGCAACAGUGUGAAAGUUCCUCUCAGUGAAUUGAUGUUGUACAGCAGUGUAUGGGAAAACUGCAAAGAUCGGAAAGCCUUAGGAGAUUUCUUGCUGUCGUCUGGUUAUACGUUGUCGUCUGAUGGCGAAAGUGUUCUGGUGGAGAAGAUACAGUUUGAAAGCAACAACUACAGCAGUAGCUCAGAUGAAAGUUUGAAUGAAGAUGACCAAUACGGUGAUGCUGAAGACGAUUAUUCCAGGAGUUUGCUGAUUGGCGGUACUUACAAAGUUCCUUGUAUCGAAGAACAAUGGGAUUAAUGGUCACUAUUCAAACAUUCAUUUGCUAUUGAGUUGUUUUUUUUAUUGUUUGUUUUUCACCUGCAAUGUGAUGGUUUGCUUUUCUCAGAGAUCCUGAUGAUAGAUAAGAGUUUUACCUGAAAGUUGAGAGGUGUGGUACUUGAUCAAUAUUACCUGUUAGUUUCGAGAAGCUGUGAUGUGUUGUUUGUAAGAGGUGUUUUAAUCAAACAUUUGUAACUCUAAUCUGUUGGAGAUUAGUCUAAAGUUACUGGUGUCCUAUCCAGGGAGAGUGGUUUCACUUCUGAUCUACAAAACAUUACAAUGUUCUGAGCUAAACAUUGUAUUUGUGAAGCCUUGUCCUCAUAGAGAUAUUUAUUUAUCUAUUUAUUUGAUAUUUUAUUGUGUUUUGUCGCAGUUUGGUGCUGAAUUAUGGAUAAUAUUAAUAAUCAGGGGAGAUGAAAGAAUUAAGUAAAAUGAAAGAUAAAAAAACAAAACCAAAUAUAUAUCUGCGUUGAUAUUUUAAAUAACAAAGGAGAAAAUAUAUUUUAAUUUUUAUCACUAUAUUUAUUUACUAAUCUAUCAAGCAAGUCAUCUAUUUAUCUUUCUACCUAUUUGUCUUCUGAUUGUCUUCCAGUGUCCCUUUGCCUAUCUUUUACAUAUCUUCUAGAGCUAUAUUCCUACAUCAAUCAAUCACUCAAUCAAUCAAUCAAUCAGUCAAUCAAUGAAUUUUUUUCUUUAUCUGCCCAAUCAUCCAUCUGCUUAUUUAUCGCAUCCUCCACUACUACUACUACUACCACUACUACCACCACCACCACCAGCAACAGCACUAAAACUACCACGGCUGUCACCACCACCAUUAUCUGAAGCUCUUGUCUCUUGGAACAAUUCAAUAAUUCUACACAAUACCUCAUAUCAACAUAUCAACACUGAAAUUUUCGGCUGCAACCAGAAAGUUCUUAGUGUGGCUCCACUUCUUGGACAUUCUUAUUAUAAAUAAAUAACUAAAAGAAAAUGAAAAUAUGACUAAAAGCUGGUCAUCGCUUCAGAGCCAUGUUAUAUCAGCAAUAUCAUCAUCAUCAUCAUUGUUUAACUGCCAUCCCCCAUGCUGGCAUGACUCGGAUGGUUUUUGACAGGAUCUAACUACUCAGAGGGCUUCAAUGAGCUCCAGUAUCUGCUUUGACAUGGUUUCUAUGGCUGGGUGCCCUUCCUAAUGCCAACCACUUUGCAAUGUGUACUGGGUGCUUUUGUCAUUGGCAUACUCGUGUGGUUGCCGAUUAGCUCACUAGAUAUGACCCCAUAACUGAUGGAAGUGCAGUAUUGAGGGCAGUGACUUUAUGCCAGGAGUUGAGAGGCUAAAGUAUGAUAGGGGGACACAAAGACACAAACAGGUGUCUUGCUGAAGAGGGGAUACAUGGUUGCCCCAGCUGGAGGAAGAGAGAAGACGAUGGUGGUGAUGAGGUGUUGGGGUAUAUCCUCAGGAUACAAUAAAUGGUUAAAAAGAAAAUAGGAAUAGAAUUGAGGAUGGCUGGGUGGUAUGUUUUUAAGAGUGUGAAAGGAGAAUGAUAGAUGGUUAGAGAUGGGUGAGAGGGGUGAAUGCAGUGAUCACAGGUGAACAUAGUUGGAGAUAUGGUCAAUGGUGAAUCUCAGUUUGGGAGAGAAGCGAGAAGAAAUAGGACUGGGUGAGGAGGAAGAAGGUGAUAAGUAAAAAAGUAAAGUAAAGUUACCUUCUCGAAUCAUGCCGACUCAUAAGGGCCAGUUUUCCAGUUUAAUAGCAUAUAAGUUUCCCCACCUGGACAAGAUGCUGGUCCAUCACAGG